rnacentral:piRNA from 1 species
UGGAGAAUCAAAUAUCCGAGGUGUCU